AGUCGAGGGGUAACAGAGAAAAGCUUGCUUUUCUGCUGACGACCGGCGCACGGGUGCGUAACGCGUAUACAAUCUGCCUUAUACAGAGGGAUAGCCUUUAGAAAUGAAGAUUAAUACCUUAUAGUCUAUAUAUAUAGCAUUAUAUAAAUAGUAAAGCUUCGGUGGUAUAAGAUGAGUAUGCGUCCUAUUAGUUAGUUGGUGAGGUAACGGCUUACCAAGACAACGAUAGGUAGGGGCCCUGAGAGGGGGAUCCCCCACACUGGUACUGAGACACGGACCAGACUCCUACGGGAGGCAGCAGUGAGGAAUAUUGGACAAUGGAGGCAACUCUGAUCCAGCCAUGCCGCGUGCAGGAAGACGGCCCUAUGGGUUGUAAACUGCUUUUAUAUAGGAGGAAACCUUUUCACGUGUGAGAAGCUGACGGUACUAUAAGAAUAAGGACCGGCUAACUCCGUGCCAGCAGCCGCGGUAAUACGGAGGGUCCGAGCGUUAUCCGGAAUCAUUGGGUUUAAAGGGUCCGUAGGCGGGAAUCUAAGUCAGUGGUG
rnacentral:rRNA from 1 species